rnacentral:rRNA from 1 species
AUUGAACGCUGGCGGCAGGCUUAACACAUGCAAGUCGAGCGGAGAUGAGGUGCUUGCACCUUAUCUUAGCGGCGGACGGGUGAGUAAUGCUUAGGAAUCUGCCUAUUAGUGGGGGACAACAUUCCGAAAGGAAUGCUAAUACCGCAUACGUCCUACGGGAGAAAGCAGGGGAUCUUCGGACCUUGCGCUAAUAGAUGAGCCUAAGUCGGAUUAGCUAGUUGGUGGGGUAAAGGCCUACCAAGGCGACGAUCUGUAGCGGGUCUGAGAGGACGAUCCGCCAAACUGGGACUGAGACACGGCCCAGACUCCUACGGGAGGCAGCAGUGGGGAAUAUUGGACAAUGGGGGGAACCCUGAGCCAGCCAUGCCGCGUGGGUGAAGAAGGCCUUAUGGUUGUAAAGCACUUUAAGCGAGGAGGAGGCUACUGAGACUAAUACUCUUGGAUAGUGGACGUUACUCGCAGAAUAAGCACCGGCUAACUCUGUGCCAGCAGCCGCCGUAACAC